rnacentral:rRNA from 1 species
CCUACGGGAGGCAGCAGUGAGGAAUAUUGGUCAAUGGACGGAAGUCUGAACCAGCCAUGCCGCGUGCAGGAUGACGGCUCUAUGAGUUGUAAACUGCUUUUGUACGAGAAUAAUAGUUCUUACGUGUAGGGAUUUGAAUGUAUCGUACGAAUAGGGACCGGUAAAACCCUGGCCAGCAGCCGCGGGAUUACGGAGGAUCCGAGGGUAUUCCGGAUUUAUUGGGUUUAAAGGGUGGUUAGGUUGUUUGAUAAGUUAGAGGUCAAAUGUCGGGGCUUAACCCCGUGCUUGCCUCUGAUACGGUUCGACUAGAGAGCGGAUGCAGCAGGCGGAAUGAGUAGUGUAGCGGUGAAAUGCUUAGAUAUUACUCAGAACACCGAUUGCGCAGGCAGCUUGCUAAUCCGCAUCUGACGCUGAUGCACGAAAGCGUGGGUAGCGAACAGGAUUAGAUACCCCUGUAGUC